rnacentral:rRNA from 1 species
GUAGUCCACGCUGUAAACGAUGGGUGCUAGCCGUUGGAAGGUUACCUUUCAGUGGCGUAGUUAACGCGUUAAGCACCCCGCCUGGGGAGUACGGUCGCAAGAUUAAAACUCAAAGAAAUUGACGGGGACCCGCACAAGCGGUGGAACAUGUGGUUUAAUUCGAGGCAACGCGAAGAACCUUACCAGGACUCGACUUGCCCUCUUUGGACUUUUGAAAGAUUGUCCUUCAGUUCGGCUGGGAGGAGCACAGGUGCUGCAUGGCUGUCGUCAGCUCGUGUCGUGAGAUGUUGGGUUAAGUCCCGCAACGAGCGCAACCCUCGUCCUCUGUUGCUAACAGGUUAGGCUGAGCACUCUGAGGAAACUGCCGGUGAUAAGCCGGA